CACUCCUACGGGAGGCAGCAGUAGGGAAUCUUCCACAAUGGGUGCAAACCUGAUGGAGCAAUGCCGCGUGAGUGAAGAAGGUCUCCGGAUCGUAAAGCUCUGUUGUUAGAGAAGAACACGUGCUAGGUAACUACUAGCGCCUUGACGGUAUCUAACCAGAAAGUCACGGCUAACUACGUGCCAGCAGCCGCGGUAAUACGUAGGUGACAAGCGUUGUCCGGAUUUAUUGGGCGUAAAGGGAGCGCAGGCGGUCUGUUUAGUCUAAUGUGAAAGCCCACGGCUUAACCGUGGAACGGCAUUGGAAACUGACAGACUUGAAUGUAGAAGAGGAAAAUGGAAUUCCAAGUGUAGCGGUGGAAUGCGUAGAUAUUUGGAGGAACACCAGUGGCGAAGGCGAUUUUCUGGUCUAACAUUGACGCUGAGGCUCGAAAGCGUGGGGAGCGAACAGGAUUAGAUACCCUAGUAGUCCCA
rnacentral:rRNA from 1 species